rnacentral:rRNA from 1 species
AGAGUUGAUCAUGGCUCAGGACGAACGCUGGCGGCGUGCCUAAUACAUGCAAGUCGAACGGUCUUUCUAUGGAAGCUUGCUUCCACUGAGAAGAUAGUGGCGAACGGGUGAGUAACACGUGGGGUAACCUGCCCAUAAGAGGGGGAUAACAUCCGGAAACGGGUGCUAAUACCGCAUAGUUUUCUUGGUCGCAUGAUCGGGAAAGGAAAGACGGCCUUUGUGCUGUCGCUUAUGGAUGGACCCGCGGCGUAUUAGUUAGUUGGUGAGGUAACGGCUCACCAAGACGACGAUGCGUAGCCGACCUGAGAGGGUGAUCGGCCACAUUGGGACUGAGACACGGCCCAGACUCCUACGGGAGGCAGCAGUGGGGAAUAUUGCACAAUGGGGGAAACCCUGAUGCAAGCAACGCCGCGUGAGUGAUGACGGCCUUCGGGUUGUAAAGCUCUGUCUUCAGGGACGAUAAUGACGGUACCUGAGGAGGAAGCCACGGCUAACUACGUGCCAGCCGCUGC